rnacentral:rRNA from 1 species
AGAGUUUGAUCCUGGCUCAGAUUGAACGCUGGCGGCAGGCUUAACACAUGCAAGUCGAACGGUAACAGAACUAGCUUGCUAGUUGCUGACGAGUGGCGGACGGGUGAGUAACGCGUAGGAAUCUACCGAGUAGUGGGGGACAACAGUUGGAAACGACUGCUAAUACCGCAUAAUCCCUGAGGGGGAAAGGAGGGGAUCUGUUUACAGACCUUUCGCUAUUUGAUGAGCCUGCGUGAGAUUAGCUAGUUGGUGAGGUAAUGGCUCACCAAGGCGACGAUCUCUAGCUGGUCUGAGAGGAUGAUCAGCCACACUGGGACUGAGACACGGCCCAGACUCCUACGGGAGGCAGCAGUGGGGAAUAUUGCACAAUGGGCGAAAGCCUGAUGCAGCCAUGCCGCGUGUGUGAAGAAGGCUCUAGGGUUGUAAAGCACUUUCAGUGGGGAGGAAAAGUUCAAAAUUAAUACUUUUGAGCCUUGACGUUACCUGCAGAAGAAGCACCGGCAAACUCCGUGCCAGCAGCCGCGGUAAUACGGAGGGUGCGAGCGUUAAUCGGAAUUACUGGGCGUAAAGCGCGCGUAGGUGGUUUGAUAAGCUAGCUGUGAAAGCCCUGGGCUCAACCUGGGAACUGCAGUUAGAACUGUCUGGCUAGAGUAUAGUAGAGGGUGGCGGAAUUUCCUGUGUAGCGGUGAAAUGCGUAGAUAUAGGAAGGAACAUCAGUGGCGAAGGCGGCCACCUGGACUAAUACUGACACUGAGGUGCGAAAGCGUGGGGAGCA